UGCUGGAUCCGUCUCUCAUACAAAACAACUUUGACCAACAUGGUCAUGACCCCCUGGACAUUUUCUCUUGAACCCUUGUUAGUGCUAUGACUCGUCGCUAAUCGAUACAUCUCGAUUAAUACCAAUAACUUUAAGCAUCCAUGUGCCGACAAAAGGAAUAAGAUAUCUUCAUCUUGGCUUAACUCAAUUAGGAGCCGGCUGCAGAAAUUCUGACUAUGUAAUCCUCCCAUAUCACAUAAGGUGAAAUAUCUCGCACUCGACCGUAACUGGUCUCAUACACUCUUUUUUUUUUCUUUCCAACUACACAUGAUAACCACAAAACACAAAACUACUCAAAAGAAACGAGCAUGGCAAAGAUACGUACCGGUUCUUCUUUUUUUUUUUUUUGUUAAAGGGUUUAGUUCUUCUUCUUUUUUUCUGUUAACAAAUCCUCUUAGUUAGUCAUUCAUAAUUUUUUUUUAAUCCAAAUCUAAUUCUCGUAAAUUGCUAGUCGCCAUCAAUGGCGGACCUACGUUCAAGGUAGGGGUGUCAGCUGACACUCGUUAAAUAAUAAAAAUUUCAUUUGUAAAGUAUAACGUAGUAGGAAUAGCAGCUCAGUUGGUUAAAAUUCUCUGCUCUGAACACCUGUAAUUCUAGUUCGAAACUCAACUUGCACCCUGUUUAAUUAUUUUUUGAAUCAGGCCAAAGCCCAACUUUGGUUUAGUCUUCUUAUGUUUGGAUUUUAGUUUAGUUUUUACUUUUUUUUUGGACUGAACAUAAAAUUUUAAUUUAUGUGGGCUUUUAAAAUCCAAAUAUUACCAUAUGAUGUUUUUAUUAAAAUGAUAACUUUUACAAUUGCGCUUUUUUACAUAUUAUCGCUUUAAAAAAGCUUAAAUAUAA
rnacentral:lncRNA from 1 species